AUUGAACGCUGGCGGCAGGCCUAACACAUGCAAGUCGAGCGAGCGGCGGACGGGUGAGUAAUGCCUGGGAAUUGCCCAGUCGAGGGGGCUAACAGUUGGAAACGACUGCUAAUACCGCAUACGAUUGGAUUGCCCAGGUUGGAUUAGCUAUUUGGUGAGGUAAUGGCUCACCAAGGCGACGAUCCCUAGCUGGUCUGAGAGGAUGAUAAGCCACACGGGAACGGAGACACGGUCCAGAUGCCUACUGGAGGCAGCAGUGGGGAACAGUGCACUAUGGGGGAUACCCUGAUGCAGCCAUGCGGUGUGUGUGAAGAAGGGCGACGGGGUGUAAAGCACUUUCAGCUAGGAGGCGUUACGCGCAGAAGAAGCACCGGCGAGCUCCGGGCUAGCAGCCGCGGUAAUUC
rnacentral:rRNA from 1 species